rnacentral:rRNA from 1 species
GUUCCGGUUAAGUCCGGCAACGAGCGCAACCCGUACUGCCUGUUACCAGCGCGGUAAUGGCGGGGACUCUGGCAGGACUGCCCGUGUUAAGCGGGAGGAAGGUGCGGAUGACGUCAAGUCAGUAUGGCCCUUACAUCCAGGGCUGCACACGUGCUACAAUGGGUGGUACAGUGGGACGCAAGACCGCGAGGUGGAGCUAAUCCCCAAAACCACCCCCAGUUCAGAUCGGAGUCUGCAACUCGACUCCGUGAAGCCGGAAUCGCUAGUAAAGGCGUAUCAGCUACGACCGCCUUCGAAUACGUUCCCGGGCCUU